rnacentral:lncRNA from 1 species
GACUUACAUAGCGUUGUUGAGCUCAACUUGUGGUAAUGCUGCCAUUGAGAGAAACUCACCAAAGAACUCAAGAGGUUCCUGUGGCAACUGGCCACUUCAGUGGCCUUACCUCAAGUCAGUUGGUGAGCCUGGCAGUUUCUUCAGGAUUGAACUAUAGUUACUGGUUGGUGCCUGAUGUCUGCUUGCUAAAAGGACUGGACUGUAGUUUCUGGUUUGUGCUUGGUGUCUACCUGCCUAGAGGACUGGUCUGCAGCUGCUGAAUCAUAUUUAGUGUUUGAUAUGGGACUGAACUGCUGCCCAAGAAGAUCAAGCUUGCCCCCAAAGAACUAUUGCUGAACAGGUCCACUUCCCCCAUAUCCUAAUAACUUUUCUCUUCAGCUACCUCUGUUGGGUGGUGGGCUAGAUGGCGAGAGGUUGGGCCCUUAUUAAAAGUAGGUC